CCAUUUCCGGUCUUUUAAAAAUCCUUGAGGCGAGAAGGGUGAUUCUAGUCUAGUCUAACCCGCCGACAGAGGGCGCUCCAGCCUUGAAGAGGUGAAGCACGUGGGUGGACUCUGGAGAAGCGACUGAGAUGCAGAGAGGAGAUGGCACAGAAAGGGCUGUUUUCCCUUCCCAAGCCGGCCUGGCUUGUACUUAUUUACAUUCGUAUAACCUUGACUCCACUUGCAGCAAGUACAAACUCUUGGAAAUGAAGAUCAACACGCUGCAGCUAAGUACUGAGACUCUUCAGUGCUUUAGAGAACAUGAGAACCUCCAGGAUAGAACAAGAAGAGAUCCUUCAGGGCCAGCAGGGAGCAAUUCAAAUGAAGAAACUUGUAACAUGAAGGGAGCAUCCUGGAGGACAGACACAGUCAGGAGUAGUUUACACACAACGGCUUUGGGACUGCUGUAAAUAACCAACCACUUCCUCUAUCUUCCUGAAGAUAACAGUGAGUGAAGAGGCACAAACAGGAUGACAGUAGGAAGAGACGCUGCAUACCCAAGUGUUGCAACCCAGAUCAGGAAACAAGACCAUAAGAUUAAAUCCACCACACUUGACUGUGGGAAAAACAAUCCUUUUUUAUUGAUGAAAAAAUGGUUACAAAAUAGAAGAAAA